UCAACCUGACAGCACUGGCUCAACAUGUCUUCCAAAGACGCGAAGAAGCUACAUGUUCAGUAUCUGCUGCUGAUGGGGAUCGUGAUGGUCUACGCAGCAUCAAAACUAGACGAAACGGCGAGAACGCUUCUGACAAGGAUUAGAAGCAACGCCAAAGAUUUGACUGACAAAAAUCUAAGCAUAGAUGUGCGAAUGAUAACAGAAAACCACACACCGUGUCCGGUAUGUUGGAAAUCUUUUACAUUUAUUGAUAUUACAGUGGUUUAAGACAUCUGUGACUGUGUUGGACAACAUUACUAACAGUGGAUUUGACCUCACGGAAGGAGUUCUUCUGUUUGGCGGAGGAAGUUCUGGAGGAAGCAAAGAAAAACCAUCCAAAUAUCACCGAAGAUGUGAAAAUUCUCUAUCGCAACCUGCGUAGCUACAACAAGGUAAAGGGGAGUUCAUGUAUGUCAGCGAGUUGUUUGUAGGCUCACACCGAGCCAAAGCGUCAAAUGAUUUACAGUGAAUCUAAACAGCAUAUCCUCUAAUAUUUAAUACCAUCUAUAAUGUUAAACAGGUUUUAUGUAAAUUUAGUCGUGUUUGGUAUUUUUUGUGAUCUUAAAAUGUACAUUUUCAAAAUUAACUUUUUUUUUUUUUCUUACUUCUUCAAAUUAAGAAUGUCACGUGUCACCUGAAAACAAAUGGCUUUUAUCCCAUACGGACAUUUCUGGA